UAUAUGAAGAAGGAAGGCGGGGCUGGUCUCAGUGUGCAUUACUUUGCAUUUUCUCACAUUUUCCCCUUCAGCUGCAUUCAGUUGUCUAUUCACCAGUUUGAAGAGAUCAUUGUGGAGUUCUUCUUAGUCUGCUAGGGAUUGCAUCAUUCUGAAUAAUUUGACUGGGCUAUCUCAAUUCAGAAACAGUGCCAGAGCCAUUAAAGAGGCUUGGGGGACACGGCUUGCUUCCCUCUCUCUAUUGUGAAAACUGCCUUUUUUCAUUCCUACGCUCAACAUUCUGGUUUUUAAUCAGUUACUGAUCCAUAAGAGAACCAGUUAUCUUAUUCCAUGGCUGUUAGAUUUUAAUGGGAGCUUCUUGGUGAGGGGCUCUGGCAGAAGCAUUUACAAAGUUGAAUUGCUGCUUGGGAUGGUGUUUUGCCACCAGACUACUUCCAUACAAGUGUUUUGAAACAAGCUGUAGUUUAAUGUUAAGUUUUGAAUCUUUUACUUUUAGGAACUCCUAAAAGUAAAAUUCAUAAUAAUAAUAAUAAUAAUAGUAAAAAAAUGUGUGUAGAUGUGUUCAUGUGUAUAUGCAAUAAUUAUUAAUGAGACCUGCAAAACUGCACAUAUUGAGGAACAGAUUCUGUAGUAAUAGCUGGCAGAAAUGUUAAGUGCUUUUCACAGUCAACAUUCAAACAGAUUAUCAGAUGGCAUAUUUCACCCUGUUGUUACUUUAAAUGAAGUGACCAUGAAAUCAACAAAUCUGCUGUCAGGUGCCUGUCAGUAAGAUAGUUCUUCCUGUCACACAAUGCCUCACAUAACAGGUAAUGUGUUUUUAAGAAUCAGUCCUUUGUCACCUCAUCAAGUUCUUGUUAAAAGAUGAAAUAAGACGGAUGGUGUUGUCUCCCACAGAGCUGACGGAAAUUCAGGAGAAAGCAAUACAUUCUACAGGAAUAAAUACCAAAAGGAAGGAACUCAGGUGCCUGUGGGGGGAAAUUGCCUCUUACUGUGCUAUAUUGCCUUUAUCCUGUGUCUUGAAAAUAACUGCUCACUUUUCUUGCUCAUUUUAAUUCAAGCAUUAAAUUAAUUGGGUCAAGUUUAAGUUCUCUGAUAAAGACAGGAGGAAUUAAGCCUAAAUCAUCAAACAAAUGAGAACAAAGAGUGCAUUAUUGCACUAGUACCUGAACUUUCGCUCAGGGCCCUUGAGACAUGCUUCAGUACCUAAUGGAGAUGACACCCAUAAUUAGCAGAUUUUACUUGCAACUGUUUUGUUCUGAAUUUGUACAGUUAGCCCUUUAUCUUGAGACCAUGAAUGACACUGGCAUAUUACUUCGUAGACUGGGUAACAGUACUACCCAUUGCAUUUUUUUAGUGCCGUCCAAAAGAAUGUCCCAAGUGGUAAGAUGUCUCUUUCAGUCUGGUUCCGGAAGGAAGAUAUAAGGUGGAACUCUCAAUUGCCUGCUGUAACAAAUGUGCAAGAUGGUCAAUUCCAGAAGAUGAUGCUUAGGAAUCAUUGCCCCAUCUCUUGGCAAUACCUUGCUAUUGAACAUCUACAUACAUUAGACCCAGUGGCGUGGUGUGGGGGGCUGUGGGUGCCAUCUCCCCAGGCACAUUUUAUGGAGGAGGCGUGACCAGGCACCCCCAAAACAGGCUCCCAUUGAAGCCUGGCUCUGUUGUGCAAGGGGGCUGCCAUGGCAGCUUCCUCACACCCAGCUGAAGCUCCACUGCAGCUCUGCUCCCGGGUCACAUCUGACCUGGGGGCAGAGUGCAGAGUUGGUGGCAGAGAGCUGCCACCCCUCUCCUUGACUGGAGAGGAGGAUAUUUAAAGGAUAUUGCACUCUCACUGGAAAUUUGAGUUCAUAGUUUGGGGAUGUUCUUGGACCCAGCACCGUCACUGGAGACACAUGUAGCAUCUGUGACUCAGGGGCCUUAUCUUAACUUUGGUUUGUAUACCAGCUGCAGUUCUAUUUAGACAGAGAGACAGCCUACAAUUAUUACACUUUAGACAGAGACAGCCUACAAUUAUUACACUUGUGGAUAGCUCAGUUGGUUAGAGCAUGAUGCUGAUAAUGCCAAGGUCGCAGGUUCAAUUCCCUUCAGGGAAUUCCCUUGAGUUCCCAACCCAUUGCAGCAGGUUGGACUUCAUGAUCCUCAUAGUCCCUUCCAACUCUACAAUUCUGUCAUCACGGUGAUUACAGCAUUUCCACAUCCCCAAAGCCACCUGAAUUCUACCUCUCAUUUCCCCUUCCCUAGGGGCCAUUCCCUUACAAUAUCCAUUCCCUUCGGUUGCUUUCAGUUGCUCCUAUAUUUUUACCUUAAGCUUCAUUACAUUCUCCCCCAUGACUUCACUGCCUUCUGUGUGUCCAUAAUCUCCUCUCCCAUGUGCUUCAAAUGGUUCCCCCAGUUUCUUCCAGCAUGGCACAAUUGGUUCCCGGUACUGAGAAACCUCCUAUCAAACUGCACACAUAUGCAGUACAAGAUGAAAUGCUAUCAAAUGCAGGUAAGACCAUAGCCCAGAAGUGUAGUGCUGAAUCCUGAUUAAAUAUUCCCACUCUAAAGUUGUAAUUAAAACAUCAUUUAUAUUGAGAAUAAUUAAGACAACUGUACAUUUGAUUUUAAAAUCAGUUUUGAGUAUUGUGCCUUGUCAAACUACAAGGAUGGCUCCUGCAGCUUCACAAUUUAACAUUAAGAGGCAGACAGUGACCGUGGGCACCUGAGUGGGGAGGUUUGACAGUUUGAUAAAUUAGGAAUGACACUUGCCAAAAUGGCCGUCCUUCCCUCAGUCUGCCAGUGGAGCAUUUACACACUGUUAAUUGAAUUGGCAAUUUGUGUAACAGUACCUGCCCCUGAGCUUUGGUAAUUCUAGAGCUGCCAUUUAGCUCUGAUAAUCCAGGACUGGGGAAUAAGGACGAAAAGCUUCACAUGAUAUUAUUGCAGAUUUAAAAUGACAGUUGGGGACCUUGUUGCCAAUUUCCCAUUAAAUGAGAAAUAAUUAACAAUAGCAAUAACAAAGUCUUACAAAGCUGGAAAGUUAAAUUGACUUUUCAGCAGUAGUGUGGUUUAAAAUUGCUUCUAGUGUGAUUAUCCGAUUGCCCUUUCGGUAUUAUAUACCCUAAAUAGUAUCAUAUGAUGGACAAAGUGAAGGGUGUUUUUGAAAGCUAGCCUGUUUUAUUACUGUGAGGCUCUUCUGAUUUAUCUGUUGUUUUGUCUUCUUGCUAUGUACAAAUUGGGUUAUACUAUAAUGUUUCAUAGAGAUAAAGAAUUUAAUGAAAUAUCAGAGAUCCUAGUUUCUACAGAUGUCAGUAACUGAAUGACAGCAGAAACAAAACACUGAACCUCCGAUAACCACUGUUGAAUACGAUUGUUCUAAAGAUGUCCCUGUGUAGAUUCUACCCCUGUUUUCCCUUACCCCAAAGUUACAGAGAAGAGGGCAAAGAGACCCUUGGGUACUGAAGGCCUGAUGUCAUCAGGAGAAAAGAGGAAGGAGCUCCUUAAGCAUUCCUGCACCCCCAGUUUUAGAUUUUGGUAGAUGAGUCAACGUAUGGGAAUAAUAUCCUCCAAAAAAGCAGCAGAGCACCAAGAAAGACCUUUGGUGAUUAUCUUAGACGGCAUAUGUGACUGAAGAGAACUCCUUGGCAGUUUCAGGUGGUGUUUACUUUGGAAUUUACUGUAGUCUGGAUGUUAGCAGGGCGUGGUUAACUACCUCUUGCAGGGGCUGGCAGGAGCCCAAGGAGUGGGGGGUUUUGCACACAGAGGGGAGAGAGAGAAGGAGGGUCUGGCAAAAGGGGCCCGUGAUUUGUGGGUUUCUGUGCCACCCAUGAGCUGGUUCCUGGCAGAGGUGGAAGAAGGGGGACCAGAGCAGGUGACUGGUCAGCAAGAGCAUGGAGGAAGGAAGCAGGACUUGCUGGAAGAGCCACAAGGGAUCUUGGAAUCUGUAGAAUCUGUGGAUGAGGCCAUGCCUUCAGAAUCCCCUGAACACCCACUCCCCACUGUCACCUUGCUUGAGGAGAAGUUGGAAGAGACGAGAAGUUAGAGCAGGCUCUGAGGAGGAGCUGACAGGUGCUUGAGCGCAACACGUGAGCUAAGGAGGGACAAGGGGUGGGGGCAUGAAUACUCUGUUUCUCCAACGUUCUGAGACUGGCACAAAUUUGCAGUCAUAGGAGCCAACUCCUAGGGGCUAAUGUCACUUUAGCCCCCCCUCCCAAUAAAAUAUUUGAGGAGGUAGUGGGUAUUGCCAUUCAAAUGGUGUGCGCGUGCUGCGUCUUGUGAUCAAUUAUGCGGGGUGGGGCUUACCUGCCCUUCCACCCCAUUUUAUUCAAGUUGGCACUCCUGUCUGAAGUUGUCAUUUGCUUAGACAGCUAAUUAGCGAGGAGCUUUAUCGUAUAUCACUUGCACAUUAGGAGCUGAUGUAACCGACUGAUUCACCAAUAAAGAACUAUAAAAUCCAGCCGCUUGUCUUUGAUGGUGCAGGUUGGGACACCCUCAGGGUGGGAAACCAGCUCACCCGUCACAUGUGGUUGAAGGCGAUAUCACAGAAGCCACUGCACUUAAGCCCUUAAAAUUGAGAGAGAGUGAAAUCCUAUCCGGAAUAGAUUGCAAUCCACCUCUCAUGUCAGACGAACCAUCUACCAUCUUGUCUAGAUUGAACUUGGAGUGUGUCUGGAUUGAACUUGGAGUGGCCCUUAUCCACUCCACUUAAGGAUGCUAGGUACUGAUUCAGUGUUAUCCUUUGGAGUCCAUAACAUAAAAGGCCCAGUGGUUUUGCCUCAUCUCCUGAACUGACCAUCUGUGUAGGGCUAGAACCACUGCAGAUAGUCUAUUUAGAAGGGUGCCGUGGCUGAUGGUAUGAAAUGCUGUUGAGAAGUCCAAGAGAAUUAACAGGGUUUGUUAUCUAUGUCCUUCUUUUGACGAACUAAGUCAUCCAAAGCUGUUUCCAUGCCAAAACUGAUACCGAAACCAGACUAUAUCUGUUGGCUAGAAAAAUUAGAUAACUAUAAACACUUGGAAUCUGUGUCUUAAUGUCAGCUUAUUUAGCUUCAAAAAUGAAGAAUGUAUGAUGACUUUGAAGGAGUAUUUUAAUUAUCUCAUAAUUAAAAUAAUGGGAUCAUGCUGACAUGAUUUCUCACAUAAUCGCCCUGAAUCUUAAAGGUCAUGAUGCUAUCCACUUAUAAAACAUCGUCAAGCAAAAUCCAGCUAUUUGGUGUGACUAGCAAUGGCAUCAAUAAUGGGCUACACGAGGGGCAAUAAGCAGAACCUCAGCCCAUGCAAACUAUGUGCAGAUGUGAGCACUGAUCAUUUGUCUAGAACUUUAAACAUAAGAGAAGAAGACAAGAUGAAUUUAUACAUGAUCUUAAACAUAGCACGACACUUUCCACUAGCUGAGCACAGCUAUCCUGCCCUGGUAACAUCCAGAUGUGAUGAUUGUAACUUGUUACUGCAUUGGACUGCCUUUAAAGACAUCUCAGAAACUUCCAAUUUGUGCAAAAAAAAUACAGGUGCUAGACUGCCUAUGGGACCUACCCUAUAGAACACAUCUCACCAAUCUUGAAACAACUUCACUGGUUAUUGACCAAUUUCCAAGCAAAACAGCUGCUGCUUAGCUUUACAUCCCUAUGAUGACAAGGAACCAUAGCAUUUCCACCUAAAUGCACCUAUCCGUGCAUAAAUGCACCUAUCAGUGAAUUAAGAUAAUUGUUCAAGACCCUUCUGUGGACCCCCCAUAGCUUCUGAAGAUAAUAAUGAUAAUAAUAAUAAUAAUAAUAAUAAUAAUAAUACCUUUAUUGUCAAGAUGGGUUGUUACAGGUGACAGGGUUUUUCAGCUGCAGUGCCCCAUUUCUAUAGUGCUUUCCCCAAAUAGGUUUGACUGGCACCAAGCGAAUACUUUUUGAGGUUGUUUCCUUUUUUCACGUUUGCUGAUCUAUUUUUUUAAUUUUAAAAAAGUUAACUGAACUUGGUUUUGAUCUGUCAGUAUGUUUUUGAUCUGCAGUGCUUUAUAACUUCCUUCAGUUUAACUGAUUGUUGUGUUUGAAUGUUUUAUUUGUAGCUGACCUGGGAAUGUUGUUGUUUAGUCGUUUAGUCGUGUCUGACUCUUCAUGACCCCAUGGACCAGAGCACGCCAGGCACUCCUGUCUUCCACUGCCUCCCACAGUUUGGUCAGACUCAUGUUCCUAGCUUUGAGAACACUGUCCAACCAUCUCGGCCACCGUCGUCCCCUUCUCCUAGUGCCCUCCAUCUUUCCCAACAUCAGGGUCUUUCCCAGAGAGUCUUCUCUUCUCAUGAGGUGGCCAAAGUAUCAGAGCCUCAGCUUCAGGAUCUGUCCUUCCAGUGAGCACUCGGGGCUGAUUUCCUUCAGAAUGGAUAGGUUUGAUCUUCUUGCAGUCCAUGGCUCUCUCAAGAGUCUCCUCCAGCAACAUAAUUCAAAGCAUCAAUUCUUUGGCGAUCAGCCUUCUUUAUGGUCCAGCUCUCACUUCCAUACAUCACUACUGGGAAAACCAUAGCUUUUACUAUACGGACCUUUGUUGGCAAGGUGAUGUCUCUACUUUAAGAUGCUGUCUAGGUUUGUCAUUGCUUUUCUCCCAAGAAGCAGGCGUCUUUUAAUUACGUGGCUGCUGUCACCAUCUGCAGUGAUCAUGGAGCCCAAGAAAGUAAAAUCUCUCACUGCCUCCAUUUCUUCCCCUUCUGUUUCCCAGGAGGUGAUGGGACCAGUGGCCAUGAUCUUCGUUUUUUUGAUGUUGAGCUUCAGACCAUAUUUUGCGCUCUCGUCUUUCACCCUCAAAUUGUGUUUUUUUAGGGCGGAGGAGGAGGGGGAGAGGUACAAUGGUAUAAGAGCUGUUGAAACGAAAAUUUAGGUGAAAGUAGGUUGUGCAAAUGGAUGACAUUCUAUUUCAGGUAUAUUUGCUUUGUGCUGCUUUUCAACUCUAGAAUAUAUGCAUCUAGAUAGAGAUCUAGAUAGAUAAAUAUAUUUUGUAUAUUUCUCAAAUUUCCUCCAAGAAGCUCAAGGUAGCAUACUUGGCUUGCUUCCCAUUUAAUCCUCAAAACAACCCUGUAAGUCUGGAUAGGCAGAGAGAAGGUGACUGGCUCAAGGCCAUUUGAUAAGGUGCAUGGCUGUGUGAGGAUCUGAACCCAGUCCCAUCUCCCCAGUCCUAGUCUGACACCGUAACCACUAAAAUCAAUUGUUGAAAAUAGCACUGUGAGAGAAAAAAAUGUGAGGGACUGAAGGUGCCUUUGUACAUAAAUCCAAUAAAAGUGGGUUUUCUGUUAAGAAAAAACUAAGUAGAUGUUUUUCCUGUCCUGUGCAUCUGAAUAUUCAUCACAUGGAGGCAUAUUUCUGUAGGGAUUUACCUGGUUGGAAUGAGUCAUUAUUUAAUUGUGGCAUAUGUGUGGCUCUCUGAAUCUAGAGAGUUUUGAAAAGUUGCUGGUUUUUUUCUGAUUGUACAACAGGAUUUCCUUUUCUAUGUUAAGUUUUAAAACAUUCUAAAGGGGUGCAGGUACCUCAAGCCUAUUUUGUACAAAAAAUGGAGCCUCUAUUGUGGUUCUUUUAAUUUUUUAUAAAUUGAAUUAAUCCAGCCAAAAGCUGCAUCAACUGUGUCACAUCCCUUUAACCAAAGGCAUGUAAACCUCAGAGUAGACAGCUGUUUGGCUGUACCAAGGUGGGCCCCCUGCCCUCAGCAAAUAUACUUGAUUCCCCUACAUGGCCACUUGGCUGGCUACUCUUACAGCCAUAUGGUUGGAUGGAUUCACGACUGCUCCCUAGUUGGCUGUAUAAUUCCACAAGGAUACAGUAGUAGUUACUGGUAGCCAUAUUGGGAAAAAUUUGCAGUGGUGGUAGUUUUGUGUGUUUGUGUGUUUUUUUGUUUUUUGUUUGCCAAGACCAACUUGGGUGAAGGCUGGCAUUAAGUUACGAAGUAUAUGACUGUAGAAAUAAUAAACAAACAAAUCCCAUAUAUGGGGGGGAUUAUUAUUUUUUUAAAGCAUUUUUAUGGCAAUAUAGUAUGCUAUUCCUGAAUAGCGCAAAUGAGGUAAAAUUAACCGAAGCUUUCUUUUCUUUUCUUUCAAUUUAUUUUUGAUUGCUUUUCUUCUUAAAGAUUAAACAACAACAAGGGGGGAUGAUUUAUUUUAUUACUGUUUAAUCUCUCUGCUGAAGUAUACUAGAUCCUCUGACUGGCUAUUUGAAAUAAGGACAGAGAGAUGGAGGGAUCCCUUUAGACCAGUGGUUUUUUUCUGGGCCACGCUUUUAGAAUAAAAAUUUGCUUGCACCACAAUUUUUUUAUUGAAAAGAAAUACAUUGGAAAACUCCUAGCAGUGUUUGAUCUAUGACAUAGAACACAACCACUUUGUGUUUGGGGUGUGUUUUUUUCUUCAGCUUUUCCACUGAAAAUUUUCAAAUAAAAUAUGAAUAUUGAAAACAUUUAAAAUGUCAUG